rnacentral:misc_RNA from 1 species
UCAAACUUGGUCAUUUAGAGGAAGUAAAAGUCGUAACAAGGUUUCCGUAGGUGAACCUGCGGAAGGAUCAUUAUUGAAUUGAAACACGGUUCGUUGAUGCUGGCCUUUUCGGAGGCAUGUGCUCACGGGCUUUCAAUUUACUUAUCCCUUUGUGCACCUUUUGUAGUCUCCCAAUGUGAAGGAAGUGAACGGGGCUUUCAUUAGCCUCUAGUAAUGGACUUUGCGGGAGUUCUAUGUUCUCAUAUCUAAACACAGUAUCAGAAUGUUCAUUAGAGAUUCUUAAUUGAGUCACUAAACCUAUACAACUUUCAGCAACGGAUCUCUUGGCUCUCCCAUCGAUGAAGAACGCAGC